rnacentral:snoRNA from 1 species
UGCCUAUGAUGAAAGAGAAUGCUAUUUGCGCUUGUGGAUGAGAAUUCGUGAUUUACACAGAAACUCUACUGCCUUCCUUCUGAGGCC